UCUCUUUCUCUGUUUAU
rnacentral:sRNA from 1 species